UGAACAUGGAUAAGGCCAAGCUGAUCUGGCCAUGAGUCAACAACACCUAGGAUUAAUGAACUCUAGUAUCUUAAUCACGUGCAACACAUGCUCAUGAAGCAAUUCAAUGCAAAACAAACCGACCGCAUCUCUCUCCUCAGCACAGUUCUCCCUCCGUCGUGCCAGAGGCCGUCCUCGACGACGGAGACGCCUCUAAAAUCAAACCAAGAAAAUUAUCCAAUCUGUUUUGAUGCACUGAUUCUAAAAAUGCGAACGGAUUAUCCUUAUUCUUUAUGAGCUAAGUGAAUCAAAUAAAAAGCACGAAGAACCCUAACAUGAAGAAUCCAAAUUAAACGCCAACGGAGGAGAAUCAGGCCACCACUCGUUGGGGAUUUGAUUCCCCUCGUAAAACUCUACAUUUUUGUAACAAGUUGAAGGAAAAAGGAGGGAGAAAAACUCACCUGCGAUGUUCUCUGAUGGUGGUGGUGGUGACAGCGACGAUGAAUGAAAAUUUGAUACCCAUCUUGAAACUUCUUCUAUGAAUCUUCUUCUUCCUCCUCUCUUCGUCUUCUCUUUUCUUCUUCUCAAUUCUUCUACGAUUUGAGCAAACGAGAGUUUGGGGAACCAGAAGUAGAGAGUGUGUUGAUGAUGGAGCUUAGCACAAGCUGAUUGAAGCUCUGAUGACGAGCUUAAAUGGCUUCCAAGGAGUGUGUAUAGGUGAGGUUGAGAGAGGGAGAGUUGAGUUCAGAAUGAGAGCGUGAGAGCGAGAGGAUCCUUUUUUGAUGCAGGGUGAAGGAUUAUAUAAAGGUUAGAUGAGUUAACAGAGGGGAUUUAACUCUGUUAAACGAUUAACUUUUAGUGUGAAAAAAGUUCUUAGAGGUGAAAACGGUGUGAGAUUGUUAGUAUUAGUUAGUUAUGAUUUUGUUACCUAGGUUAGUUCAUUUCAGCUAUAAUUCAGUUAAGACUUGGUUAGAGUAAAAAAAAGAGAAAGAAAGUUGGAAACUCUGAGUUACGUGUUUUACCAUCCUGGUGAAUGGUGAGUUAAGUGGAAUGAUAAGUGGUUUUUAGUUAUCAAAUUGAGUUCAAAGUGAUACUAAUUUCUGCUGAAUGAUACUUAAGGUUAAUUUACAUAGUUAUGCUAAAAAUUUAUUAGCAAUUGAUGCGUUUUUGUUAGGGAUUCUGUUAAUUGAUUUCCUAUUAAGUCUAUUAGAAAUUUCUGAAGUGUAACUUGUGAAACUCUGACAUGAUGAAGUUCAAUUUGCUUAGUCUCAGACUGUUAGAUUACAUUUUAUUAGUUAUGGGAUUUGGUUCAGCUAGUCAACCAUUAGUUGGAUGGUUUGGUAUCGAGUCAUGUUAUAUCAAUUUGCAUUGCCUUGCUUUUGAGAAUGAAUGUAUUGUUGUUGAUGAAUGUUGCAGGACUGUUUGUGGUUGGAUGCCAAUUCUGUAGUGGUUUGCAUUGCAUGAUUGGAUUGAAUGUCAUGACUGGGUUUGAGUGGUAUUCCAUGACAGAAUUGCUGCUUUAGUGUAUAUAUUUGAAUUGAUGUUUGGUUCAUCGAUGAUGCAUUGGUUGUAUGAUAUACAAUAUGAUUUGAAUGAUAAUGGUAAGCCAUUUUUUUGGUUGGUACUGAUGCAGGUAUGUAAGGUUCUGCAUUGGCCUUGUUUCAAUGCAAUUCUGAAUUGGUUUUGUUAAUGGUUUGACUAGUUUAUUGCAGCAGGUUUAUACCAUGUGCAUUGCUUCUUGCUUAGUUUUAAUGAUGCUUAGCUAAGUUGAAAAUAUAUGAAAUAUUAUGGACUGCUGCAAGCCAUUUCAUUAUGCUAUGAUGAUGGCAUGAUGUGGUUAAUGCAUGGGCUAACUUGUUGCAAGAGCAAUGGUUGAACUGGUUUGAUAGUGGUUCAACAUGACAUCAAGAUUGGAACCAAAGGCCACAUGUACAGUUGAUCAAUCAAGAAUCAACAUGGGUCAUGGAAAAUUAUGGAUGGAAUUAGGAUUAGGGUUAUAGAAAUUAGGGUUUUUUAGGAUGGAAAAAGGACUUGGGUUGACUUGGUCAAAGUUGACCAUAAAGUCAACUAUUGACCAAAGUUAACAUUUGGUCAACAUGUAAUUUUUUUGGAUUUUUCCUGGUAUGUAAUGAACAUUUAUGUAUGAUAAUGAAUAAAAUCGGUUAUUUAAAUGGAAAA